rnacentral:rRNA from 1 species
UACGUAGGGGGCGAGCGUUGUCCGGAUUUAUUGGGCGUAAAGCGUCCGCAGGCGGUCAAGUAAGUUCGAGGUGACAGUGCGUGGCUUAACCGCGCAAGGUCCUUGAAAACUGCUCGACUUGAGGGCUUGAGAGGGACCCGGAAUUCCGGGUGGAGUGGUGAAAUGCGUAGAGAUCGAUAGGAACACCAGUGGCGAAGGCGGCCUCCUGGGGCACUCUUGACGCUGAGGCGCGAAAGCUGGGGGAGCGAACGGG